UACGGGGGGGGCAAGCGUUGUUCGGAAUUACUGGGCGUAAAGGGCUCGUAGGCGGCCAACUAAGUCAGACGUGAAAUCCCUCGGCUUAACCGGGGAACUGCGUCUGAUACUGGAUGGCUAGAGCAUUGGAGAGGGUAGCAGAAUUCACGGUGUAGCAGUGAAAUGCGUAGAUAUCGUGAGGAAUACCAGAGGCGAAGGCGGCUACCUGGACAAUUGCUGACGCUCAGGCACGAAAGCGUGGGGAGCAAAAGGG
rnacentral:rRNA from 1 species